AUUGAACGCUGGCGGCAGGCCUAACACAUGCAAGUCGAGCGAGCGGCGGACGGGUGAGUAAUGUAUGGGGACUGCCCGAUAGAGGGGGAUAAAUACUGGAAAAGGUAGCUAAUCACGCAUACUAUCGGAUAACCCAUAUGGGAUUAGCUAGGCGGUGAGGUAAUGGCUAACCUGGGCGACGAUCCCUAGCUGGUCUGAGAGGAGGAUCAGCCACACUGGGACGGAGACACGGCCCAGACUCCUACGGAGGAAGCAGUGGGGAAUAUUGCACAAUGGGCGCAAGCCUGAUGCAGCCAUGCCGCGUGUAUGAAGAAGGCCCUAGGGUUGUAAAGUACUUUCGGUCGGGAGGCGUUACCGACAGAAGAAGCACCGGCUAACUCCGUGCCAGCAGCCGCGGUAAUUC
rnacentral:rRNA from 1 species